rnacentral:rRNA from 1 species
AUUGAACGCUGGCGGCAGGCCUAACACAUGCAAGUCGAGCGGAGCGGCUGACGGGUGAGUAAUGCCUAGGACUCUGCCUGGUAUUGGGGGAUAAGGUCCGGAAACGGGCGCUAAUACCGUAUACUAUCAGAUGAGCCUAGGUCGGAUUAGCUAGUUGGUGGGGUAAAGGCCUACCAAGGCGACGUGCCGUAACUGGUCUGAGAGGCUGACCAGCAACAUUGGAACUUGGACACGCUCCAGACUCCUAAGGUAGGCAGCAGUGGGGAAUAUUGCACAAUGGGCGCAAGCCUGAUGCAGCCAGGCCGCGUGUAUGAGGAAGUCCUUGGGUGUGUAAAGUACUUUAAGCUGUUAGGCGUUACCCGAAGAAGAAGCACCGGCUAACUCCGUGCCAGCCGCCGCGGUAAUUC